AUGAAGUCUUGGAGCUGCCUGGCUCUAGGAGACAUGAACCUGUACCCUGUGUGUGCAGUGCUACAGUAAUUCACCAACCUGAUGCCUUUGUGCUAGAUGAAGUCUUGGUGAUCAUAAUUUGUCUAGAUCUGCCCCAAAGCAAGUUCUCAUUGGAGACCUUGAAACGCUCCUUGAUUAGGCAGGUGUUAUUAAUCUUGUGUUGUCUGACAUUAAACCUCAGACAGAGCACAGUCUGUAGAAGUUUUGUAGUCAUUCUACAUUUCACUCUCCUACCACCGAAACAGGUGUGCAAAGUCAAAUUCAGUGCUAUGGUGCCACUGAUUGUCACUGCUGGCCUCCAAGCCAAAGUGUUCUGAGUUUGUGAUUCAUCAGGACUUUGUCAUCUACUCACCACACAGACAAGCAAAUGGAAAGACCAGCUUGGAUGUGGUAGGAUCACCAGGUGAAGCCUUACCAGUGUGUCAGUGAUUAAUUGAAAAUGCAAGAAAAACAGAAUGCAAGUCUCAGUGUAAAAUGGUGAUGACUACUUGUCAGCUGGUCUUGGAAGAAGGACUUGGACAUUGGUAUUAAACUUCAAAAUGCUGGAAGACUUGCCCUCUAUUGACUAAAUAGUAUUUGGCAUAACAGAAAGCUGUGAAAGGGCUACUUGUAGAAGUGGAGGCCAGAGGCAAGCUUCAAGGAAAGUUAUGCUCUGGUAAUAAAGGUAGAUGUGGAAGGAGCUAGUUCUGGCGUUGGUCAAAUUGACGCUCAGAAUCCCAGAGUUAAGAGAUUUGGCUUUACAUCGUGGCAAUGCCCUGAUAUAAGCUAGAGCAAGUAUCAAAUUUUAGCCCUGUAUUUCUUUAGUCAUAGUAAUCAUGCAAACUGUUGUUUUCUGUAGUUUUUUUUCCUUUUUUUUUUCUGAGCACGGGUCACAGACUUCACCUCAAAUUGUGACUGAGUUUAGGCAGAAUUAGAGAGUAGCAGAGCCCUGAUUCAUAGCACACCAUUUAAUCUCGGUCUUCUAGAGGGAAGGGAAUUGUUUUAUUAGUUCUGCUCAUGAAUCCCUUUUUCAAGACACACAUAUAGUGAGUUUAUGUUAUGCUAAUGCAACUCCAUCUCAAGGGAGUAUCAAAAUGCUGAAGAUCAACCACGUUACGAUUUAUCCUCCUUCCCUACCCAAAUUGGAGGUAGGCAGUUCCUCAUUUGCAGGUGAAGAUAUAAAAUGAUCUUUUCAAAACAUUGAGAAGCAUGAGCAGUGUCCUGCAGCUGACUUUAUGCUGCCAAGCCUAGUUUGUUCUACUUAGUCAUUACAGCUGUUGACUCUGUGUGUUACUGCCUAGAACAUGUAGAUACUGCUGCCUUAAGACCUGGCAGUAGGAUACGGGGUAUUCUGUGAUCUUGCAGUAGAAUUUCCUUGGGUAAUCAGCAAGUCUUAAUGACAUGGAAAGGGCAAUUAACAUUUUGUUAAUGGAAAACAUAUUUGAUCUGUAUCCAUAUACUUACUGUAUGCAUUGAUAUAAAGUUUAUAUAGAGACUUUCUGGAAUGGAGAUAAUUGCAGAACAGUUCUGUUUUUUUUUUUUUCCAGCUGACAAGCAAUUUGUGAAAAUGAUAAUAAAU